rnacentral:rRNA from 1 species
UUGAUCGUGGCUCAGGAUGAACGCUGGCGGCGUGCUUAACACAUGCAAGUUCGUACGGAAAGGCCCUUGCUUGCAGGGGUACUCGAGUGGCGAACGGGUGAGUAACACGUGGGUGAUCUGCCCUGCACUUCGGGAUAAGCCUGGGAAACUGGGUCUAAUACCGGAUAGGACCAUCGUUUAGUGUCGGUGGUGGAAAGUUUUUUCGGUGUGGGAUGAGCUCGCGGCCUAUCAGCUUGUUGGUGGGGUAAUGGCCUACCAAGGCGUCGACGGGUAGCCGGCCUGAGAGGGUGUACGGCCACAUCCGGGACUGAGAUACGGCCCAGACUCCUACGGGAGGCAGCAGUGGGGAAUAUUGCACAAUGGGCGCAAGCCUGAUGCAGCGACGCCGCGUGGGGGAUGACGGCCUUCGGGUUGUAAACUCCUUUCGUCAGGGACGAAGCGAAAGUGACGGUACCUGGAUAAGAAGCACCGGCUAACUACGUGCCAGCAGCCGCGGUAAUACGUAGGGUGCGAGCGUUGUCCGGAAUUACUGGGCGUAAAGAGCUCGUAGGUGGUUUGUCGCGUCGUUUGUGGAAUACCGCAGCUUAACUGCGGGGUUGCAGGCGAUACGGGCAUAACUUGAGUGCUGUAGGGGAGACUGGAAUUCCUGGUGUAGCGGUGGAAUGCGCAGAUAUCAGGAGGAACACCGAUGGCGAAGGCAGGUCUCUGGGCAGUAACUGACGCUGAGGAGCGAAAGCAUGGGUAGCGAACAGGAUUAGAUACCCUGGUAGUCCAUGCCGUAAACGGUGGGCGCUAGGUGUGAGUCCCUUCCACGGGGUUCGUGCCGUAACUAACGCAUUAAGCGCCCCGCCUGGGGAGUACGGCCGCAANGCUAAAACUCAAAGG